rnacentral:rRNA from 1 species
ACGGGUGAGUAAUACAUCAGAACGUAUCCUGGAGUGGGGGAUAGCCCGGCGAAAGCCGGAUUAAUACCGCAUACGCUCUGAGGAGGAAAGCGGGGGACCUUCGGGCCUCGCGCUCAAGGGGCGGCCGAUGGCGGAUUAGGUAGUUGGUGGGGUAAAGGCCUACCAAGCCGACGAUCCGUAGCUGGUCUGAGAGGACGACCAGCCACACUGGGACUGAGACACGGCCCAGACUCCUACGGGAGGCAGCAGUGGGGAAUUUUGGACAAUGGGGGCAACCCUGAUCCAGCAAUGCCGCGUGUGUGAAGAAGGCCUUCGGGUUGUAAAGCACUUUUGUCCGGAAAGAAAUCAUCGGGGCCAAUACCCCUGGUGGAUGACGGUACCGGAAGAAUAAGCACCGGCUAACUACGUGCCAGCAGCCGCGGUAAUACGUAGGGUGCGAGCGUUAAUCGGAAUUACUGGGCGUAAAGCGUGCGCAGGCGGUGCUGUAAGACCGAUGUGAAAUCCCCGGGCUUAACCUGGGAACUGCAUUGGUGACUGCAGCGCUGGAGUAUGGCAGAGGGGGGUGGAAUUCCACGU